GACGUAGGGCGCAGCGUUGUCCGGAUUUGAUUGGCGUAAAGAGCUCGUAGGCGGUUUGUCACGUCUGCUGUGAAAUCCCGAGGCUCAACCUCGGGCCUGCAGUGGGUACGGGGCAGACUGGAGUGCGGUAGGGGAGAUUGGAAUUCCUGGUGUAGCGGUGGAAUGCGCAGAUAUCAGGAGGAACACCGGUGGCGAAGGCGGGUCUCUGGGCCGAUACUGACGCUGAGGAGCGAAAGCGUGGGGAGCGAACAGG
rnacentral:rRNA from 1 species